AUCUUCCUUAACUCUUUUUUCAUGUGAAUCUGAAGGUCUGUCUGUCUGUCUGUCUGUCUGUUGCUAUCUUCCUUAACUCUUUUUUCACGUGAAUCUGAAGGUCUAUCUGUCUGUCUGUCUGUCUGUUGCUAUCUUCCUUAACUCUUUUUUCACGUGAAUCUGAAGGUCUGUCUGUCUGUCUGUCUGUCUGUUGCUAUCUUCCUUAACUCUUUUUUCACGUGAAUCUGAAGGUAUAUCUGUCUGUCUGUCUGUCUGUCUGUUGCUAUCUUCCUUAACUCUUUUUUCACGUGAAUCUGAAGGUCUG